GUGGAGGUGAGGGUAUCUUGCUGGAGAUCCCUGCCUGCUGGAGGCCUUCCAAAGGCUAUCGAUACGUUUUUGCAUUAAUGGGCUGACGACUGCUUAACUACCUGGAGAAGCAUUACGGAGCCUAAGAUUCAUGUCUCAAAUGCACCAUUCCUUUUCCCUUUGAAUGGAGCGCUGCAGAUCCUGGCGUUGGCCCAGGAGAUGGACUCAGUGAUCCUUAUGGGUCCCUUCCGACUCGGGAUGCUCCGUGAUGGCUGUGUGACCUCUUGGUGGCACUUCAGCAGGAUGCUUGCAGGGCCUUCUUCUCAUGCUCCGUGCUGGCCAUGGCCCAGAACGUUGACAUCAUGGCAGGACUUGGUAGGAGGUGUUAGGAGCAAACGGGGAAUGUUGGGCGUCUCAGAGUUUGGCGGUGUUCUGAUGCUCUUGGAACUUGUCAUAUUUUCCUUACCUCUUCGCACGCGGUGCGGCAGGAAGUCAUUUAUGGUAAUUUUCUCCUAUUUGCAUAUAGGUUAUAGAGUUCUGUGGUGCAAAGCACGCUCAGAACUCCUUUUAAGUGUCUGUUCAGAUCAAAGCGGGGCUGUGUGAUAGCUGUUGUCUGACACCAAGCUGUGUGGUGUUGUUUUCAUUAAACAUUUAUCAUACUUCCAACGUGACAGCAGGCAACUUUGUGCUUGGGUAACAUGUUUUCAUGCAAAAUUUAUUGAAAAAGACGAGACAUUGUAAAGAGAUCUUGUUGCCUUUCACCAGUGGCGAAGGGUAAAUGUUUGAUUGGGAGGAGAGAUCCCUUCAGCGUGCCGAGGAACAGCGAGACGUCGCUGUUAAAAAAAA